GACGAACGCUGGCGGCGUGCUUAACACAUGCAAGUCGAACGGAAAGGCCCUGCUUUUGUGGGGUGCUCGAGUGGCGAACGGGUGAGUAACACGUGAGUAACCUGCCCUUGACUUUGGGAUAACUUCAGGAAACUGGGGCUAAUACCGGAUAGGAGCUCCUGCUGCAUGGUGGGGGUUGGAAAGUUUCGGCGGUUGGGGAUGGACUCGCGGCUUAUUAGCUUGUUGGUGGGGUAGUGGCUUACCAAGGCUUUGACGGGUAGCCGGCCUGAGAGGGUGACCGGCCACAUUGGGACUGAGAUACGGCCCAGACUCCUACGGGAGGCAGCAGUGGGGAAUAUUGCACAAUGGGCGGAAGCCUGAUGCAGCAACGCCGCGUGCGGGAUGAAGGCCUUCGGGUUGUAAACCGCUUUCGCCUGUGACGAAGCGUGAGUGACGGUAAUGGGUAAAGAAGCACCGGCUAACUACGUG
rnacentral:rRNA from 1 species